AAAAUAACAAGCGAUGGGGAUACCGUGAUCAGGAAGGUGCUUCCCCCAGGGUGAGACCUAACUGCGGUUGGGUUGACCCCUGCGAUUAUCCCUAAUGAGGAUAAAUCGAUCGCGUUAUUUUUGUGUGUGGGGGCUGCGUAUGCGCUGUCCCCAU
rnacentral:snRNA from 1 species